ACGGAGGCAGCAGUGGGGAAUAUUGCACAAUGGGGGAAACCCUGAUGCAGCGGCGCCGCGUGAGUGAAGAAGUAUUUCGGUAUGUAAAGCUCUAUCAGCAGGGAAGAUAAUGACGGUACUUGACUAAGAAGCUCCGGCUAAAUACGUGCCAGCAGCCGCGGUAAUACGUAUGGAGCAAGCGUUAUCCGGAUUUACUGGGUGUAAAGGGAGCGUAGACGGCAAAGCAAGUCUGAAGUGAAAUCCCGGGGCUCAACCCCGGAACUGCUUUGGAAACUGUUUAGCUAGAGUGCAGGAGAGGUAAGCGGAAUUCCUAGUGUAGCGGUGAAGUGCGUAGAUAUUAGGAGGAACACCAGUGGCGAAGGCGGCUUACUGGACUGUAACUGACGUUGAGGCUCGAAAGCGUGGGGAGCAAACAGGAUUAGAUACCCUGGUA
rnacentral:rRNA from 1 species